rnacentral:rRNA from 1 species
AGCGGGUUUACCGGAGAGCCCAUUCAUUUUCUGGCCGACGAAUACCUUAGCAUGGGAUAAUGGAAUAGGACCCUGUCCUCCUUUUUUCAGUUGGUUAAUUCAUGAGAGAGGAACAGGGUAAUGAUUAAUAGGGAUAGUUGGGGGCAUUAAUAUUUAAUUGUCAGAGGUGAAAUUCUUGGAUUUAUGAGAGAUUAACUUCUGCGAAAGCAUCUGCGGAGGAUGUUUUGAGUAAGGGGGGACGAAGAUUAG